rnacentral:rRNA from 1 species
GGGGAAUAUUGCGCAAUGGGCGGAAGCCUGACGCAGCGACGCCGCGUGGGUGACGAAGGCCUUCGGGUCGUAAAACCCUGUUGCAGGGGACGAAAGAAGUGACGGUACCCUGUGAGGAAGCCCCGGCUAACUACGUGCCAGCAGCCGCGGUAAAACGUAGGGGGCGAGCGUUGUCCGGAAUUACUGGGCGUAAAGGGCAUGCAGGCGGUGCGCCAAGUCGGGGGUGUAAAGUUACGGCUCAACCGUGACCUUGCAAUCGAAACUGGCGCACUGGAGUGCGGGAGAGGGAAGUGGAAUUCCCGGUGUAGCGGUGAAAUGCGUAGAUAUCGGGAGGAACUCCAGUGGCGAAGGCGGCUUCCUGGAUUGCACCUGACGCUGAGGCGCGAAAGCUGGGGGAGCGAACG